CAUAUAAUCAAAUGGAGACUCAUCUGAUCAUCAUAAUAUAUUGUACUAAUUUCAGUCUGGUUUUCGUUGCUCUUAUUCAAUUGAUUGUUGUCUUCUCCAUCUAUUUGAUAACAUUAGAUUACCAACGCCAAAAGGUUUAUUUACAGUAAUGGUAAUGACAGACUUUGAAAAGCAUUUGACACAAUUGACCAUCAAAUAUUAUACCAAACAUUCAGUUCUUUGCGUGAAAGAUGCAAUAUGGUUUACGUUCUAUCUGAUUGGACGGAAUCAACUAGUUCGUGCAUGUAAAUGGGUUUAAAUCUGAACUUUUGAAUCUGACUCUUGGCUUUUUCUAUCUUACGUCAACGUUACUUAUCUUAUGUCCUCAAUGCUCUUCAAAUUUGUACUUGUUUG
rnacentral:lncRNA from 1 species